ACCCGCUGAACUUAAGCAUAUCAAUAAGCGGAGGAAAAGAAACCAACAGGGAUUGUCUUAGUAACGGCGAGUGAAGCGACAAAAGCUCAAAUUUGAAAUCUGGCACCUUCGGUGUCCGAGUUGUAAUUUGAAGAAGGUAACUUUGGAGUUGGCUCUUGUCUAUGUUCCUUGGAACAGGACGUCACAGAGGGUGAGAAUCCCGUGCGAUGAGAUGUCCAACUCUAUGUAAAGUGCUUUCGAAGAGUCGAGUUGUUUGGGAAUGCAGCUCUAAGUGGGUGGUAAAUUCCAUCUAAAGCUAAAUAUUGGCGAGAGACCGAUAGCGAACAAGUACAGUGAUGGAAAGAUGAAAAGAACUUUGAAAAGAGAGUGAAAAAGUACGUGAAAUUGUUGAAAGGGAAGGGUUUGAGAUCAGACUUGGUAUUUUGUAUGUCUUGCUUUCGGGUGGGGCCUCUGCAGUUUACUGGGCCAGCAUCGGUUUGGACGGUAGGAUAAUGACAUUGGAAUGUGGCACUACUUCGGUGGUGUGUUAUAGACU
rnacentral:rRNA from 2 species